rnacentral:rRNA from 1 species
AUGCACGCUGGCGGCGUGCCUAAUACAUGCCAGUCGAGCGAACAGACGAGGAGCUUGCUCCUCUGACGUUAGCGGCGGACGGGUGAGUAACACGUGGAUAACCUACCUAUAAGACUGGGAUAACUUCGGGAAACCGGAGCUAAUACCGGAUAAUAUAUUGAACCGCAUGGUUCAAUAGUGAAAGACGGUUUUGCUGUCACUUAUAGAUGGAUCCGCGCCGCAUUAGCUAGUUGGUAAGGUAACAGCUUACCAAGGCAACGAUGCGUAGCCGACCUGAGAGGGUGAUCGGCCGCACUGGAACUGAGACACGGUCCAGACUCCUACGGGAGGCAGCAGUAGGGAAUCUUCCGCAAUGGGCGAAAGCCUGACGGAGCAACGCCGCGUGAGUGAUGAAGGUCUUCGGAUCGUAAAACUCUGUUAUUAGGGAAGAACAAAUGUGUAAGUAACUAUGCACGUCUUGACGGUACCUAAUCAGAAAGCCACGGCUAACUACGUG